GGAUAACCUUGCGAAAGUAAGACUAAUACCCAAUGAUAUCUCUAGAAGGCAUCUGAAAGAGAUUAAAGAUUUAUCGGUGAUGGAUGGGGAUGCGUCUGAUUAGCUUGUUGGCGGGGUAACGGCCCACCAAGGCAACGAUCAGUAGGGGUUCUGAGAGGAAGGUCCCCCACAUUGGAACUGAGACACGGUCCAAACUCCUACGGGAGGCAGCAGUGAGGAAUAUUGGUCAAUGGACGAGAGUCUGAACCAGCCAAGUAGCGUGCAGGAUGACGGCCCUAUGGGUUGUAAACUGCUUUUAUAAGGGAAUAAAGUGAGUCUCGUGAGACUUUUUGCAUGUACCUUAUGAAUAAGGACCGGCUAAUUCCGUGCCAGCAGCCGCGGUAAUACGGAAGGUCCGGGCGUUAUCCGGAUUUAUUGGGUUUAAAGGGAGCGUAGGCCGGAGAUUAAGCGUGUUGUGAAAUGUAGAUGCUCAACAUCUGAACUGCAGCGCGAACUGGUUUCCUUGAGUACGCACAAAGUGGGCGGAAUUCGUGGUGUAGCGGUGAAAUGCUUAGAUAUCACGAAGAACUCCGAUUGCGAAGGCAGCUCACUGGAGCGCAACUGACGCUGAAGCUCGAAAGUGCGGGUAUCGAACAGGAUUAGAUACCCUGGUAGUCCGCACGGUAAACGAUGGAUGCCCGCUGUUGGUCUGAAUAGGUCAGC
rnacentral:rRNA from 1 species